AUAAUCAAUUGUUUUAUAAUUGAAGACUGGAAUGAAUGGUUGAAUGAAAUAAAAGCUGUCUUAUUUAUAUUUAUUAGAAAUUGGCGUUUAAAUGAAGAGAUUUAAAUUUAACUGAUAGACAAGAAGACCCUAUUGAGCUUAAAAUGAUUUUGAAGAUAAAAGGUUAAAUAUUAAUAAAAAUUAAAAGCUUGAUUUUUUUUUGGUUGGGGCGACUAAGGAAUAGCAAAAGCUUCCUUUAUAACAAGAAUAUUAUAUAAGUUUUGAUCCAAUAUAAUUGAUUAAAAGAAAUAGUUACCAUAGGGAUAACAGCAUAAUCUUCUUUGAGAGUUCAUAUCGAAAAGGGGGGUUGU
rnacentral:rRNA from 1 species